AUUGAACGCUAGCGGGAUGCUUUACACAUGCAAGUCGAACGAGUGGCGGACGGGUGAGUAAUAUAUCGGAACCUGCCCAGUAGCGGGGGAUAACUACUCGAAAGGGUGGCUAAUACCGCAUACUAUUGGAUCGACCGAUAUGGGAUUAGCUAGUUGGUGGGGUAAAGGCUCACCAAGGCAACGAUCCGUAGCUGGUUUGAGAGGAUGACCAGCCACACUGGGACUGAGACACGGCCCAGACUCCUACGGGAGGCAGCAGUGGGGAAUUUUGGACAAUGGGGGAAAGCCUGAUCCAGCCAUGCCGCGUGUAUGAGAAGGCCUUAGGGUUGUAAAGUACUUUUGGCAGAGAGGCGGUAUCUGCAGAAGAAGCACCGGCUAACUACGUGCCAGCAGCCGCGGUAAUAC
rnacentral:rRNA from 1 species